CUAAUCUGGGACGACACUUUACGCACAUGCGUUAAGCCCAAUUUUGUCUUUUGUAAAAACGCGUCUCAAAUGAAUACUUUUUAUACGAACUGCUGCACUUGUGAAAGUAUUUUUAGUUAUUCGAAAGUAGUGGCUAUUUCAGGGGUGUUCAUUUCUCUUAUGGUACAGGGAAUUUACCGAUCGCCGACAAGCCUUGUGUCGUUAUUUUCCACAUUUUUGUCUGCAACAUUAAGGUGCAUUUAAUUGUGCGACUAUUUGAAAAAGAAACGUUUUGGGUUUCGUAUUUUAUUUGUGUUUUGACGCAAUUUGUAUACCUUUACUGUUUUCUGAAGGUGCCAGCAUUGAAGCUAUUGAGAUUUUCGAAACGAGAAACUUUUUUCAAAUUUUCUAAAAAUGACAUUCUUCUCUAACUUGUUACUAGGCUUGCACAAUCGGAAUCAACGGACAGGAAAGAAAUUCAUUUUAAAUUUCAUUAAAUUAUCUGUUGUUUUUU